GGGUCCAGUUCACGCAUCGCUUCGCUCACGUGCACACAGACCGUUUUUGUCCGGCAGAACACCUGGGAUAACGGCAGUCGCAGGCUUUCCUCUGCAGGUCCGAGUCCUGUCGGGCCCACCA
rnacentral:tRNA from 1 species